GUUUUAACGAAUUUUUCUCAAAUUUUCACAGGACAUAGCUAAAGACGUCAGUUUCAAAAUGUGUUCGGCUUUGUUCUAAUUUUGGAUAUUUUAAUAAUAAGGAGCAAUUCACACAAACGAUUCAGAAAUAUAUCGCAGUCGCCAAAGAAAUGACGAAGUAAACAAAAAUUUCCGAACACAAUUUUUUAGCACAACUAUUUUACUGUAUAAAAAUGAUAUUUUCAUAAAUAUAUCUUCAAACCAGCAGGAACAUAACUCAAAAGCGUAAAGGUACCGCGACUUAAGAUUUUCCUGAAUAAUUCUUACAUUAUUUUAUUGUUUGUCAAUUUUACAACUUUAUCAUAUUUUCCAUGCACUGGCUAACAUUUGGUGAAAAUUUGAUGAAAAUCGGACUGAUUUUUCCACAAAACGCCAAAAAGGGUGUCCUGUAACCUUAAGGUUUCAGCAACAUGCCCUGUUGCCUGUUAUGUAUUUUCUUGUUCUUUACAUUCUUUAUUUUUAUACAAACUUGGAAAAUCGUAGUGUACAAACUUCAAUCAAUCAAUCAAGGGUUUAUUAUAAAAUCGUGGCGCUCGAAAGCGAAUUGCGAAGUUAUUUACACCAUUUGCUAAUUAUAAAACUAUCUAUGUGUAGCUUGUAUUACAUGCAUUAUGUUACAAAAUUGUUUUACGAAUCUCUGAAUUAAUACAGAA